rnacentral:rRNA from 1 species
CCUACGGGGGGCUGCAGUAGGGAAUAUUGGACAAUGGGCGCAAGCCUGAUCCAGCCAUGCCGCGUGAGUGAAGAAGGCCCUCGGGUUGUAAAGCUCUUUUGUUGGGGAAGAAAAGCAUUCGGCUAAUACCCGGGUGUCCUGACGGUACCCAAAGAAUAAGCACCGGCUAACUUCGUGCCAGCAGCCGCGGUAAUACGAAGGGUACAAGCGGUACUCGGAAUUUGCGGGCGUGAAGCGUGAGUACGGAUGUGAAAGCCCUGGGCUCAACCUGGGAAUGGCAUUGGAUACUGGCGGGCUAGAGUGCGGUAGAGGGUAGUGGAAUUCCCGGUGUAGCAGUGAAAUGCGUAGAGAUCGGGAGGAACAUCCGUGGCGAAGGCGACUACCUGGACCAGCACUGACACUGAGGCACGAAAGCGUGGGGAGCAAACAGGAUUAGAUACCCCAGUAGUC